UGGGGCUCCUUUUCUUCCGGUGAUUUCGGUUUGUGUCUAUCCGGCGCCAUCGCGCUUUCCAUGAGGCCGAGCGUGAAAAUCUGGAACAGGGAGAGGCAGAAUCAGAACGCUCUACGGGAGAGUGAUAGAGGAGCUGUUGGCGUGGUUGGCGACAUGUCUGUGAUUCCAGAGGAGCCGGAGGAUGCACCGAUUGUUAAUCCAGCGAGCCUUGCCGCGGUGGGAGAAAUGAGGGAAAUCGGGUAAGGUUGCCUUUGACUUCACGAUGUAGCCCUGGCUUGCCUCGAACUCGUGGCGAUCCUUACAGCCUCAGCCUCCCAAGUGCUGGGAUUAUAGUUGUGCGCCACCACGCCGGGCAAAAAACUAUUUCUAUAUGUACCAUCAAGUAUGAAUUACACUUUUGAAGAUGCUGGGAAAAGAUGUGGAACUUGGAAGAUAAUUCUUUAAAAUAUGCAGGAAAGGGUUCUCUAUGUUGGAGUUUGUGUGUCUAUGUGUUUGAUGUUGAGACAGGGUCUUGCUAUGAGAUCAAGGCUGGCCCUAAUCUCACUGUAACUCAUGCUGGCCUCAAACUCUCGGAGCUCUUCCUGCCUCAGUCUCCUAAAUGCUGGGAUUAUAGUUACCACCUAAAAUGUUUGAAUCAGAAGACAGUACUGAUGAAGAACUGUUAAUUAAUGAAUCAGGAAGUCAUAGUGAACCUGAAGAUGAUUUUUCAGAAUUAUCAGAGGAGUUUCAUUCAGAGACUGAAGCUUCACACCAUUCAGAGAAUUUGUUGAGGUUAAUUUGGAAAAUCCAAUCCCUACUCUGCCUAAGUUUCUGUGCACCAGUACACCUAGUAUAAAUUUGUCAUUUAGACAUGAUACGGAGCCAGAUAGUUUAAAUUACUUCGAAUAUUUCUAGAAUUCUAAAAUAAUGUAGUUGACUACAAUAGAAACCAACAUGCAGAUCAAAGCCUUCUGGGAUUUUAGAGAAAUUUUUACACUUGGACUCAAAACGAACAGGUAAUACAGAUUUUUUUUUUUUUUUUGCUCUCCAUAGUCUGUAAGGAAUUAUAUGUAAGCCAAUACGUGAGUGGUAUUGGUCUGAGAAAGAUUGCAUUGAAACACCUUUUUUUCAGUGAAGUGAUGUCGUAAAUGUUUUACUUUAUUGAAACAUAUUAUAUUCAUUUUGUAGAUAACUCAGUGCUACUCGAAUCUUUAAGUUAUGGCCAACUGUUGAACAUCUCAAUAAAAAGUUUUCUACUGCACUUACACUUGAGAGAGAUUAUCACAACUGGUGAAAGUUUAAUGCUACAUAAGGGUCAAUUUGAAUGGAUUCAGUUUAUCCCUCUAAAAAGAGCUACAUUUGGUACCAAAUCUUACAUGUUCUGUGAAUCCAAAUCUGGAUAUGUGGUCUUAAUUUACACUGGAAAGUGCACAGUACUUGAUAACAUCUAUAAAGAUUGUUACAUGGGUACACAAAUUGUUUUGACUCUUGAUGAAACCACUUUUCAACAUGGGACAUUGUCUUAUUACAGACAAUUUUUAUACUUCUCCAGGACUCUGAUACUAUUUUACAAUACAAGAUGGACAUGUUUGGGACACUGAGUCUGAAUAGGAAAGAAGUGCCGAGAGAUUGUUCCAAUUUUAGUAUAUGUGCUGCUGAAACAAGCACUAGUGCCAAAAGACCUGCAAAAGAAAAAAACUGAAAAAGGGAGAAAUGUUAGCCCAUCAGAGAGGAAAACUUAUGCAAUGAAAAGACAUUUCCUUGUCAGCUAUUCAUAAUACAGAAAUGAUAGAUCUUUAAAGAAACAAAACUUUAAGGAUUCUAAUAAUGGUCAAUGGUUAUAAUUUGAUUACAACCUUUUUUUUUUUUUGUCUUUUCGGUACUGGAGAUCGAACUCUGGUCCUUGCUCUUGCGGGACAGGUGGCAGAAUCACUGAACUAAAUCCCCGGCAGUGAUUAUAAUAAUUCUAUGAAUGGUAUUGACAGAGGUGACCAACAUUUAACAAGUUAUCCUGUCAUUUACAAUUGAGAUUAGGUCUGGUAGACCAAAUAAUUGAAAAAUACAGAAGCAUUGGGAGGCUAUUGCUGCAUUAGAAGAAAGUGCUAAUUACAAAGAAACUGAAAAUGAACAUUAUGCUUCAAGUAAAAGUUGGUUUCAUCCUUUCAAAAGGCACCAUGAAUUGGUUGAUGUGAAGCUGUUUGAAACAGCAAGCUUAGAUGAAGAUGAUACUGUGAAAUUGGCAUCCAUAUUGUAAGAUAACAGUGUCCUUGGAUUGCACAGCAGGGUAAGACCCAACUGCAAAAAACAAGCAGGGUUCAGAUCAGUGGUACCAAAAUAGAGUUGACUUGGGGUUUUAGGACUGCUGCUACAUAAGAGGCAAUUGUACAGCCAGAGCUUAGUGAAGGCAAACCUACUGGCAUGAGAAGGCUUUCCAACAUAAAAGAUGACUGCCUCAGAGGAAGAGAUGCUAGCAAAAGCCUUCACAUUAAAAGAACUCAGUUAAUUUCAAGACAGUAAAAGUGCAAAGGAUAAAAUUUUGGUAGCUGAUCCAAAUUUAGGAGUAGGACAAUCGCCACAGUAUAGAAAUGACACUCCCUAUUUUAAGUAAUACAACAGGAAGGUAGGUCCAGUUCAAGCCACUUGAAUGAUGAACGAGUAUGGAUAAAAUUUUCAGUGUUUCUAAUAUUUUAAAUUACAGCAUACUAAAAAUACUAGCCUUGUGUUAUUACAAAGCUAGAUUUCUUUUUAACAACAGCAAGAGUUACAUUUUUGACUGGAAUCUCCCCCCCAGCCCCAAUUGGGACUCAAAUUGGGAACUCUACCACUAAGUUACAUCCCCAACCCUUUAUUUUUUAUGUUUAGAGAAGGUCUCGCUAAUUUGCCUAGGCUGUCCCUGAACUUGUGAUCCUCCUUAGUAACGAAUUAAAAGGUAUGCAGCACCACUGUGGCUAGUUUUGACAAACUUUAAGGUCCAUGAAUCCCACAUUUCCUCAUAGGUUAAGAUUGUAAUGUAGCUUCAGCUUCCAUGGUCAAAGCCAGUACAAGCUAGAGAACCUUAUUAUUCAAACAGGUCAGAUCGACAAAUGUGUUUGGUAAUCGUUACUUUUCAUAUUCUUGUAUGCUGCUAUAUCAAAGCUUUGAAAUAAAAAUUUAAUACUGAAUUUCUCAUAUUUGGACUUAAAUUGUAGGCCAAAAAUUAUUGAGAUUGACAGAUUUUUCCUGUAAAGGGCCCUUUGAAGGCCAUAUGAUCUCUGGUGCAGCUAAUCAGUUUGGCUUUCAUAGCCAAAGCAGACAGUAAAUAACCACUGAAUGUGAAUGUGUUCCAAUAAAAUUUUAUUUAGGGACACAAAUUUGAAUUUCAGUUUUUCUUUUCAGUUUUUUCCCCCAAUCAUUUAUUCACAGGCCCUGGGGGUUGGGAGGUGUGGAGUUUGCUGAUUUGUUUAAAUUAUUGUGGUGGGGGGAGAGUUGAAGGUCUUUGCCCUUCUGGGCUAAAGCCAUGUAAUUCAGGCCAGCCUCAAACCUUUUGCCUCAGCCUUCAGCUGGUACUACAGAAACGCACCACCACUCCCUGCGGCCCUAAGGAAUCUUCCAGAUCUGUGUACUGCUUCCAAGUACCAGGGAGUAUUUGGGAUGGACGGUAGGAAGAGUUCAGUUUAACAUCUCUAGUCAAAUGAUGCACACCCCCUUUUAAAUCAGUGUUUUAUUGGCACCUAGUUUAUAGGUAAACUAAUCUUGCACACAUAAAAUGGGAAGAAAGUUUUAUCCAUUUAAGGUGAAUAUUUUAUGCGUCAAGCAUGAAAGAUACACACAAUAUAGGAAUGUAUCAUUCACCUUUCACAGUUUACAGUAAUCCUAAUCAAAAUGCCUGGAGCCACAAGAAACCCUUUUUCACCCUCUGCUAAAAAGCAUUAAAAUUGAAUUAAACCUCAAAUGAAAAAUGCACAGACUGAGCGUUUAGUUCUUUGUUUCAGAUGUCUGGACAAGGCAUCUACAUUCUAGAUCCUCUUAGCCACUAAACGUGAAAGACUACUUACAUAUGUAAAGACAAGCCGAAAAGGUCAAGAUUGUCUAACAGGGGACCCCAAGUUAUUUUACGUAAGUGUCAGCGUUGCUCCCAAAGCGUUUUAGAACGCACUAGCAAUUAUCCACUGUAAUUUGCUUGAACCGACUGUCUCUUUCAAAUCUAUAGAAAUAAACUUGCUGUUUAAACUGAACCAUGCAUGUAUGACCAGAAAGAGUAUUGGGAAAUUUUGAGUACAGAAAUCUUUCUACUUCAGUACUUAGGAGUCUGGCCAUAUAUUUUAUUUUUGUGUAAAGAAACAUUACUUGCAGUUAAGGUGGCUAGGAAAGAAAGGUUUUAGGGAAGAGAUGGUUGGGUCAUAGUUGUAGAUAACUUAAGUGGUCGAUCUACAAGAGCACCUCGUUUAUCAAGUGUGUCUGCAAUAGCCUUUGAUGUCACAGAAGUUCUCAAUACGCCAAACUACG
rnacentral:lncRNA from 1 species